rnacentral:rRNA from 1 species
CCCUUAGAUGUUCUGGGCCGCACGCGCGCUACACUGAUGAAUGCAACGAGCUCUACCCUUGACCGAAAGGCCCGGGUAAACUUGUGAAACUUCAUCGUGAUGGGGAUAGAUUAUUGCAAUUAUUAAUCUUCAACGAGGAAUGCCUAGUAAGCGCAAGUCAUCAGCUUGCGUUGAUUACGUCCCUGCCCUUUGUACACACCGCCCGUCGCUCCUACCGAUUGAAUGGUCCGGUGAAGCGUUCGGACCGUGGCCUUUGGACGGUUCGCCGUCUGUUGGCUGCGGGAAGUUCGUUAAACCUUAUCAUUUAGAGGAAGGAGAAGUCGUAACA